rnacentral:misc_RNA from 1 species
GGAAAAAAAAAAAAAAAAGGAAACAAGGGUUUUGCUUGUCGCACCAUGAUAGCCAGAGAAAAGCAAUUGCAUGAUAACGUACGUAAUGGAGAUUUGAGAGAGUAAUGAAGAAAGUUUCCACUUGCAGAGUAAAAAAAUGGAGGUAAAAAACACGGCAAGGUUAAGAUUCAAAGUGCACAACAAAAGAAAAAAAAGGUAUUCACUGCCUUAAUGGUUCUUUCUCUUGUGGUUGGAUAGUGUCAUUGGAUGGAGAGAGAGAGAGAAUCAAAGCUGCAAACUUUCACGUCUCAUAUCUAGUGUACUUGCUUCUGCUCUUAAAUAUUUAUGUCUGAGGAGUUCCCUCACUGUUUCAGUAUUUAUGUCUAUUUCAGAAUCUAUGUCCCAAUGUUUUAAAGAAUCCAAAGAAAAGAAAGAAAAUAAAAGAGUAAAUUUUUUUCCAAAAAAAACAUUAUGGUUAAUUUUGUAUCUUAAUUUCUCUAACAGAAAGACAAUAAAACCGGAGAAAGAAAACCCAAAACCAUGAAAGUUCCCACUGAACUUACUGAUGAUUCUUCUACUGGGUUUCUCUAUUCUCUCUUCUUCUUUCUCGAAGUUCAGCCACAACAAAUAACCCGGAACAUAAAAAUUCUUUCUUGUUUCUUUAUUAUUGUUUUCACUGGUUUGUUUAAGAGGAGGGAAGGUGUGUGUGUAUAUAUAUAAAAACA